GAAAGACCUGUCACCUUUUGAUUUUAAGUGGGAGAUGAGGACCAGGAAAAGCAACUGACCGAAACACUGGAGAGUUCAAAGUCACGCAAAAGCUCCCAUUGUUCCACUGCUGAACUGUGAGCAACCUGAACACUGGCAGAAGCAUCAGUGCACAUUUCGAGUGAGGAGCAGUCGGUCAGUUUGAAGAGGUGAACCAGAGGAAACAAUUAAAAAGACCUACAUCAUACAGCAGAUAUGUCAUUUAACUCCACCUCCAACUAUAUUAUGGAUGACAUCUGCUCCAUAAGUUCAUCGAAAUUGAUUCCAUACUACGCAGUGAAAAUCACCCUCCUCAUCACUGUCUGUUUCCUCGUCUUUUAUGUUAGUCACCAAAGAUGGCGGCGGCAGCGCUCCUUUAAAACAGCA